rnacentral:rRNA from 1 species
CUGCCCUUCACUCUGGGACAAGCCCUAGUCAAACGGGGUAUCGAAUACCGGAUAACACUCUGUCCCGCAUGGGACGGGGUUGAAAGCUCCGGCGGUGAAGGAUGAGCCCGCGGCCUAUCAGCUUGUUGGUGGGGUAAUGGCCUACCAAGGCGACGACGGGUAGCCGGCCUGAGAGGGCGACCGGCCACACUGGGACUGAGACACGGCCCAGACUCCUACGGGAGGCAGCAGUGGGGAAUAUUGCACAAUGGGCGAAAGCCUGAUGCAGCGACGCCGCGUGAGGGAUGACGGCCUUCGGGUUGUAAACCUCUUUCAGCAGGGAAGAAGCGAAAGUGACGGUACCUGCAGAAGAAGCGCCGGCUAACUACGUGCCGCAGCCGCGGUAAUACGUAGGGCGCAAGCGUUGUCCGGAUUAUUGGGCGUAAAGAGCUCGUAGGCGGCUUGUCACGUC